CCCCACCCCGCAAGUCGAUAUGCCUCCCAGACGCAAACCCCAACCGUCGGCGAAGAAACCCCUGCGCCGCUCCGGAAGGGUCAAUUCCGCCACGGCCAUGGCCGAUUCCGCCGAUCCAACCCCGUCCCCGCCGCCGCCGGAAGCCUCCCCCGCCGCCGCCAAGCCCGUCUCCGUCGAUCCGGCCCCGGAGUCGGCCUCCCCCGCCGCCAAGCCCGUCUCCGCCGAUCCGGUCCCGCCCCAGGCCCCGGAGGCGGCCACCCCCGCCCCCGCUGCCAAGACCGUCUCCGCCGAUCCGGUCCCGCACCAGGCCCCGGAGGCGGCCACGCCCGCCGCCGCCGCCGCCGCCGCCGGGCCCGAUCUGGACGGGCCGCCCCGGAGAUCCGCCACAGCCGGCAAGCUCAAGAAGCCCUUCACCGACAAGCUCCGCGCCGCCGCGGAGGAGCGCCUCGCGCGCAUCCCGGUCGACCUCCGCCUCCGCCCGCUGGACCCCCCGCCGCCCUCCAUCUCCAACCACGAGGCCGCCCUCCGCGCCCUCGGCCUCCUCGACUUCGCGCGGUUUGACCCCGGAUCUGAGCCCCCGCGCCCCGACCUCGUCGCGCAGCUCAUCGCCUAUUACGACCGGAUUAAUCAACGCAGCUUCGUCUGGGACACCCGCGUCAGUCUCAACCGCACGGAAUUGGCCAACGCCUUCUCCCUCCCGAAAAAGACAGUCGGGCCGCCCGCCCCGCCCCGAGGGUUCAAAACCGCGGCCUUGGUCUCCGCCGCCCUGGAGUUCAUGCGCGUCUGCAUCCAUCCCUGGUUCACGGACUGCACACUGCCGCAGGAGGUGGCCGGCGGGGAACAGACUGUGAAGGAUGGGUCACCGCAUAAGGUUAACUGGGCGGGCAUCAUCUGGGGUAUCAUCGAGAAGGAGAUUCACGAGCUGCCCGGGAGGGAUGAUGGGGUGUGCCAAUACGGGGCGUAUCUUCAGCAGCUCAUCCGGGUGCAGAAGCCGCUGCUGUUUGAGCUGCCGCAGAAAGAGGAGGCAGGGAAGCUUGUUCGGAAGGUGCCUUCUGAUUUAGUUAAGGACGAGCGGGAUGGAGACGCAGAUGCCAGGAACAAGGGCUUGCAGGAGUUGGAGCCUAGAGAUGCAGAUGCGGAUGCGAGCAGCAAGGGCCCGAAGGAAUCUGAGUUAGAGGGUGUGAGUCUGACCAGCAAGAGCUUGGAUGAAUCGGGGCCCGCAGAUGCUGAUGCUAGUGGUAAUGACUUGAAGGAGUUGGAGUCUGGGGAUGUGAGGAGCAACAUCUUGGAGGAAUCAGAGACAGCAGGUGUGGAUUUGAGGAGCAGUGACUUGAAUGAGUCUGGGGAUGCAAGGAGCAACAUCUUGGAGGAACCAGAGACAGAAGGUUCGGAUUUGAGGAAGAAUGACUUAAAGAAGUCAGAUUCUGGGGAUGCAGGGAGCAAGAGCAUGGAUGAAUUGGCGGAUGUGGAUGCUAAUGCAAUGAGCAAGUCACUGGAUACAUCAGUGGUGGCGGAUGGGGAUGCAAAGGGCAUGGGCUUGGAUGUUGAGAUGGAGUCAGGGGAUGCUGAUGCUAAUGCAGGGAUCAAGUCACCGGAUACAUCUAAGGUGAUGGAUGAGGAUGCUAAGGGCUUGGAUGUCGAGAUGGAGUCAGGCGAUGUGGAUGCUAAUGCAGGGAGCAAGUCGCUGGAUACAUCAAAGGUGAUGGAUGAGGAUGCAAAGGGAUUGGAUGUUGAGAUGGAGUCAGGGGAUGCAGAUGCUAAUGCAGGGAGCAAGUCACCGGAUUCAUCGAAGGUUAUGGAUGAGGAUGCAAAGGCCUUGGAUGUCCAAUUGGAGUCGCAGGCUAUUGAUCCUAAUGCAAGCAAUAAUUCGACGGAUACAUUGAAGGUGGUUAAUGAGGAUGCAAAGGUCAUGAGCUUGGAUGUCGAAUUGGAGUCAGGGGAUGCAGAUGCUAAUGCAAGGAACAAGUCACCUGAUACAUCAAAGUUGGUGUAUGAGGAUGUAAAGGUGGACGUGGAUGCUAAUGCAAGCAGCAACAAACUGGAGACACCCAAUGUGGCGGAUGAGGACGGCAAAUUGCUGUUCGGGGGUGUGGAUGCUAAUGCAAGCAGCAAUAGACUGGAGCCACCAAAUGUGGCUGAUGAGGAUGAUGAAUUGCAGUUGGGGGAUGUGGAGAGAUUGGAGACAUCGAAGGUGGCGGAUGAGGAUGUAAAGGGCAUGAGCUUGGAUCAAUCAAAGGCAGGGGAUGCCAUGGUGCUGGAGGAAGCUGUAGGUCCUACACAUGAAAUGAAUACUGUGAAUUGUGAGGUUUUGGCAGACUUUGCAUGGGAGGAAGGUGAAGACACGAUUGUGGGUGCAGCAGAGAAGGAUGCAUGUCCAUCGCCGGAGGUGGAACUGUUGCCACAGGAGAAAGUGCUAGUAGUGCCAGAGGAGGAUGAGGAGGCCGAAGAGGAAGAAGAGAAGGAUGAGGCAGGGUGGAGCUCUGCCAAUGAUGACGAUGACAGUAUGGAUGUCGAAGAUAAUGUAUCUGUCCAAAAUCUGGAUACUGAUAAUGAGGAGGCGGAGGAGUCAGAGCAUGAUGCAUUUGAGGGGUGUAGUGGUGGAGUGGAGAUGAACUGGGGUAUUGGGGAUGACAAGGGGGGCGAGGGGACGACGCAUUGUUUACAGCAAUGUGACUUUCCAGGGGUGGAGUUUGAGAAUUUGAAUAAAGGGAAUGUUGGGAUGAGGGAUGGUGUGAGCUUUGAUGAUGGAUUCAAAAUGGGUUCCUUGCAUGGGAUGGAGUCAAACCUCCUCCAGGCUAUGAACUCAGAUCCCGCGACAUACAAUGGCACGGAGAAUGCACAUGACCUGUCCUCUGGAAAUUUCUUGGCUAUGGGGGCUGAUGCACAUAAGAAUGGAGUGGACCUGGGGGCUGGCAAUUCAUUUUUCUUUGGCAAUAAUAAUGGGAAGAGGCACGUUGAGGAUAUUGAUGAUGGGUACGAUGACCAGAUGCAAACACAACAGCAGUUUCUGCAGGGCAAUCAACAUAAGCGGAUGCGGAACUCCAGCAGUAGUGUACCACCUGGAUCAGCAUUCUUCAAUGCAAAUUAUUCAGAACCCAUACAGAACUUAUUGGUCAAUGCCAGCAUGUUAUAUGAACAGAAAGAGAGAGAGAUUCAAGAGGCGCUGUCACAGAAGCAAUUCAUGGCUAACUUGCUGCAGGAGAAGGAAGCAAUUAUCCACUCACUAAACUCAGCCAGGUUUGAGCAAGAGAAUAAGUUGCAAUCAAAGCUUAGGUGCUUUGAGCAUGAUCUGAAUGUGAUGGGUCAGUUGGUCAGUGGGUAUAAGAGGGCUUUGAAACAGAGUCAUGCUUCUUUCAAUGAGUACAGGAAGAAGUUCCCUUCUAACGAGUUCCGUUAUCGUGAUGUUCCUAAUGGCGGCGGUCUUGUCCUUAGCGUCAGGGAGUUGGAGAGGGAGUUGGAGAGGAAACGGUGUGAGGAAGAGCAGCAGAAAAUUGCUGCAGCAAAUGAGAUGAUUGGAAAUUUCAAGCUUGAAUGGUUGUCAAAGCCUGAUGAUUGGGAAGAUCGCAUCAACCUUUUGUGGCGCAAAACUGAAGGGCUGGCUCGGGAGCUUGAUCUUCUCAAGGAAAAAAGAAAAGCAAAGCUUGCAGCCCUUGCUAGGGAAGAAUGAGUUCUCUGAUAGUUAGAGGUUCUAAUGUGAAGAUGGAGAGCUCUCUUGGAUGUUUGACGUCAACAGCGAGACAUGGGAUUGGCGGCAACUGUGGCUAGCUCGUCGUGCAUUGUAGACUGUAGCGAAGAAGGCAUAAUUCCAGCUGUAAAUCAAAUGUUUUGUCAUCCAAGGGCGUUCUAAUGACCAGUACUAGUGCUUGCUUUAUUUAGAUGGCCUUUUGGUUGAUUUCCUGCAUGGAGUAAAAUACUGGGUGGUGCCAGGUUAAUCUUAUAUGUGUAGAACAGUUCACAUAGUCUCUUACAUUUGCAUCCAACUUUGCG
rnacentral:rRNA from 1 species